CAGACCUAGCCUGUAGACAGGAGGAUUGGAGAAAAAGUGGGGAAGGGAGGAGGAGGCGGCACUGUUCCAAGCCCUGGGCUGCUGGAAGACUCAAAGUGAACCAGGUGAAGGAGGUGUCUGGUUGGCUUGUGGGAAAAUAAAACAUUAAGCAGGAUCUGGACUGAGAGUUACAGAAAAGAGGACCUAUGAAAAUGCAACACCAUGGCAGCCAGCAGAGUGGAGUUCAGAUGGGCUCCAGGAGGCGGGGCCAGGCAGUAUGAAGAGGACUGCACCGUCCUGGAUCUGUUACUUAGCACUUCUAUGAAUCAACUGACAGCCACUGGGCAGGAGUGGUCAGCUUUAGUAACCAUGAUGGCAACAGAGAAAUAAAGAAUCCAUUAUCAUUGCUGACUGUGCUGUGAUGACGGACUGUUGUGCAGACUCAGGCAGCUCACUCGGGGCUGGGCAGCAGACAGUGAUUAUCGUCACCCCCUGCUUUCAUCCAUUACGGCGGGUGUUAGCAG
rnacentral:lncRNA from 1 species